rnacentral:rRNA from 1 species
AUACGGAGGAUCCGAGCGUUAUCCGGAUUUAUUGGGUUUAAAGGGUGCGCAGGCGGCCAUUUAAGUCAGCGGUUAAAUCGUGGGGCUCAACCCCAUUCUGCCGUUGAUACUGGGUGGCUUGAUUGCGGUCGAGGCUGGCGGAAUUCGUUGUGUAGCGGUGAAAUGCAUAGAUAUGACGAAGAACACCGAUUGCGUAGGCAGCUGACCAGACCGCAAAUGACGCUCAUGCACGAAAGUGCGGGGAUCGAACAGGAUUAGAUACCCUGGUAGUCCGCACAGUAAACGAUGAAUACUUGUUUUCGGCGAUAUAAUGUCGGAGGCAAAGCGAAAGCGAUAAGUAUUCCACCUGGGGAGUACGCCGGCAACGGUGAAACUCAAAUGAAUUGACGGGG